UGGCUUGGACUCCCGGCCCGGAGCUCGGCGGCGCGGGACCCCGCAGGCAGCGAGGGCGGGCGGGCGGACGGGCGGGCUGGCCGGCCGCGGCCCCUGGCGCCCCUCCGCCAGGCCCGCCAUGCAGGGCCCCGCCGGGAACGCGAGCCGCGGGCUCCCGGGCGGGCCGCCCUCCACCGUCGCGUCCGGGGCGGGCCGCUGCGAGAGCGGCGCGCUCAUGCACAGUUUCGGCAUCUUCCUGCAGGGGCUGCUCGGCGUCGUGGCCUUCAGCACGUUGAUGCUCAAGCGCUUCAGAGAACCAAAGCACGAGAGACGGCCGUGGAGGAUAUGGUUUUUAGACACUUCCAAACAAGCCAUAGGAAUGCUGUUCAUCCACUUUGCAAAUGUGUACCUAGCAGAUCUCACUGAAGAGGACCCUUGUUCACUGUACCUCAUCAACUUCCUCCUGGACGCCACCGUGGGCAUGCUGCUCAUCUACGUGGGGGUGCGUGCCGUCAGCGUCUUGGUGGAGUGGCAGCAGUGGGAGUCCCUGCGAUUUGGCGAAUAUGGAGACCCUCUGCAGUGCGGAGCCUGGGUUGGGCAGUGUGCUCUUUACAUCGUGAUCAUGAUUUUUGAAAAGUCUGUCGUCUUCAUCGUCCUCCUCAUACUUCAAUGGAAAAAGGUGGCCCUAUUGAAUCCCAUUGAAAACCCAGACCUGAAACUGGCCAUCGUCAUGCUGAUCGUCCCCUUCUUUGUCAAUGCUUUGAUGUUUUGGGUAGUGGACAAUUUCCUCAUGAGAAAGGGGAGGACGAAAGCUAAACUAGAAGAAAGGGGAGCCAACCAGGACUCGAGGGACGGGAGCAAGGUCCGCUACCGAAGGGCUGCGUCCCACGAAGAGUCAGAGUCCGAGGGCACCUUCCAGGACCUGGGACGGCCUGUGUCCAGAUUGGGCUUCUUUGCCAGGAUGACCUUAGGGUGGGGGUCCUUGCCGAGUUUGCUCUGACCGGGGUUCCGUCCCAGCUGGAGGUUGGCUGCAGAAGCGAGGGGCGGCCAUGUCCGCUCGGCGCUGGCUUCAGGAGCCCGUGAAUACACUGGGAAUCCUGAUCUCCGCCGACGACGAGAUGGAGGAGUCUGACGUGGAGGAGGACCUGCGCCGACUGACCCCCCUGAAGCCUGCGAAGAAAAAGAAGCACCGCUUCGGGCUGCCUGUCUGACGCGCUCCUGUGCUGGGGUCAGGUGUGGGGGCCCCGCCAGGUCAGCAGGCGGUCGCUCCGCAGUGCCCUUCCUUCCUUCCUCUCUGCCCCGCCUCUUCUACCUCCAGUCCCCUCGCUGUCCCCACCCGCUCCCAGACCGCUGUCACUUACCAGAGGGGGGCCGGGCCAGCGCCGAGGGGCCCCAGGCAGCCGGAGGUCCCCAUCAGUUGCACUACAAACACUGACCAAAUAUGCAAGCGAGGCGUUUUGUGUGUCUGUCAUUGUCCCAAACAGUGUUGCCAGGGACCCCGAAGCCCCGUCCUGUGUCUGGCUGGGUGGCCUUGAGGAGGAAAACUGACACGCACACAGACUGGGUAGAGCCUUUCCCCAAGGCUCUGGGAGCGUGAGGACGUAACACGUUUUGGGCUAAAAGUCACUCAUUGACCAAGUUGGAACCGCAAUGCUUUCUUACUCCAAAUGGCUUUGUAACUACUGAUUUCUAAAGCCGGUUUUAUGAGCUGUCACAGUGUUAAUGUUUUUUGAGUAUGUGUUUAUUUCCUAAGGGACUAAUGAGCAAAACAUAGAUUUUUAAGUCUUCCGUAUGCUGUUGACUUUUAUAUUUUUAAGUUAUAUUUUCAUACUAUUGUAUUUAAAAACUUUUUAAUCCCCAAAGAAAUGGGUUUGUCUGCCUUUCGUGGGAUGUGAACUGGCGGGAAGAAGAAGUCGGGAGUUUUUUUAUUCAGGAUAUUUUUAGGUAAUCUGCGACGAGAUGAGGUGAAUGGUCCUGGCGGGAAGGGAGAGGAGCCCUUGUCCGAAAGGGACAAACCCAAUGGCUCUGUAAAGGCCGGGCCUGAGCGGGGAGGCAGCUGGUCCGAAGGCCAGUCUGGGGCCAGGGGCACGUGGGUCCAGCUGCUUGGCUUUCUGCUGCCAGUUUAGAGGUCUUAGUUAAACGUGGCCAAGAGCAGAGUCUAGAGGUCUGUGUCUAGAGCAGCUGAAACCAUCGAAACCAGCCCUGUGUUCACUGCCUCCAGUGCAAGGUAGAGCCUUUGGAACCAGCUGCUGGACCAGCCCCAGGAACUCCUCUCGGGCCGCCGUCUGUCUGUCGUCUUGGUGUUGUCCCCCUGUUUAGCUUGCACAACAGUCUGAGGAGCGCCUGCCCGACCGGGCGAUCCUGUUUUUCACGGCCUCAAAGCGGCAGGGCAGCCAGAGAUGGCGCGGGUCGAGGUGCGAGAGCUCGCUGUCUGCAUCCACGGGCCGGGGAGAUGCUUCGAAGCCUGGGUCCCCUCCCUGGGGAGUGGCCCUCACUCCUCAGCAUGGCCCCAGGCCCCUGUAGCUUUGGGAGUCUGCUGACCACAGCGGAGUGGGUUGGCCUGAGCACUUGCUCUGCUGUGGGAACAGCAUGGUGGGGUGGCCCGUGUUUUGUCGUAGCCCAGAGGCAGCCACAGAAGUUAAGGAACGGAAAACUGCCCGCUCAGGUGCAAGCUAGAAGUGAGACAGGUGCAGGGAGGCCACCUGGCCCAGAACCUUCCUUUUAGACCUACAUACAAACGUGCUGCCCUUACGUAGAUUGGGUGUGAAUUGUGGCCUGGGAGCCAGGCUGUUAAGCUGGGCCUGCCUUCCCUCUCACAAUCGCACCCUUCUGCCCCUGGGAGUCUGGAGCCAGGGGGCUGGAAGGAGCCAGGCCCUGUCGCUGCCCCCGGGUGUCUGCUCUGCGAGCAGGGCUGUCUGCAGCAGGAGGCGAGGCUGCAUCCAGAACUGACGUUGUGCCUGCUACAUGUCAGCCCCUCGUGGCAUUGCUGGCUCUCCAAACUUUUCCCUCCUGUUUUCAUUUUGUAUGAACAGCCUGUGCCUGCCGCUGUUUUCCUGCACCUUCCUGAGCCCAGCAUCAGAGCUGUGCUUUCAGUCCUGAGCUCCAGGCGCAGCAGGUGGGCAGCCACAGUCCCUGGAAGGUGGAAAGUCGGGCUUAUAUAGGCCUCGGACAAUCUGCUCAUCUCAAGGCCUGGCCCAGUGCCUGCUGGGCAGUGGGUUUGGGGAGCAAAGUGGUGGCUAGUGAGGGGUGGUUUUUCCUUGUAUCCUGAAUUUCAGUAAGGGCUUUAGUCUCUGAGCCACGGUCGUGGAGCUGGCUGACCAGGGGAUGGGUGUCUAAUCGCAGAGAGCCUUGUGGUGUGUGGGACUGGACAGCAUGGCCUCGCAGGUUUGGCCUUCCUUUUCCUUCGCGUGUGUGUGUGUGCGUGCACAUGAGCACGUGCUCAUGUGCACACACACACAGACACACACACACACAGUUUGUAUUCCCUGAAGUGUUUCCUGCAGUCACCGGGGGUUUUUCUGUGCUGCAUUGUCCCAAGAGACCAGCUGUAGAGGGCCGUGGUCAGAACCUUCUCCUGAGCUGACCUCCCUCUCUGAGAUGAGUCUCCUUACCACCUGCCCUGAGGUGCCUUACAAGGUACAGCUCCUUACCCGGCCCUAUGGCAAGUGUCACAGUGCUUGAGAAACCAUGGGACACCAACUGGAUAUUGUGUGCUCCCCAUCCGAUCUGUGCGGCUGUGGGCCUAGGCCAAGGCACCCGUGAUGGAAGCUUGUAAGUCAGGGUCAUGAACAAGUCUCUUGUACCUAAUGGAAAUAACCUGAUGAGGUAGAACUCUCGUGUCUGAAUGGAAGGAAUCAUUGUUAGCCUUAUUUCCUUUUGCUGUCAGUGGGGUGUUGACAAUGGCAAGGGGGGGAUGUUGGUGAGAUCUCGGGCAGCAGGGGCUUCUUGGUCUGCUCAGAAGACCUUCGAGGUAAAGGCCUGUGGCCCAUCAGUUAGCCCUCAGGCACGCUGGUGGCCUCCUGCCUCAAGCUUUAACUCACGCCCCUUCUUGGCAACAGAGAGUCCUAGGCGACUGUUGACUGUCAUGCCUUUAAAGGGAAAACCUGUAAAGGCUCAAAUCCUAGGCAAUCUAGUCCUGUAGCCUGUAGUCCAGAGUCCCCAUCGGAAGGCGCCCAGGAGCCCACUCUGCCGUCCAGACAACAACUCACUGGACUUUUUGCCGCCAAGCCAACAUAGAAGGCUCUGGGAACUUCUCAUUGGCCAAAACAGCCCCCUUAUAGGGUGCAGGGCUGGCUUUUAGAAGUUGCACACACUUCCAGCCAGGAGUGGAGAGCUCUCUGUUUCACCCUGUGAAACACUGGCAGCACUGAAGGGCUUUGCUCUGGGUGAGGGACUUCUGGUCCAACGGCCAUCAGCACCUUGAGCUCCUGGUUGGGUGGGUGUCAUUUGAGCUCUCUUUUCAUGAUGUUUGUUAGAACUCAGAACUGUGUGAGAAAACCAUGGCCUAUUUCCACUGCCCUUCCGGUGGGGGUGUUUCAUCAGUGGUGGUAAGAUUCACAGAAAGACAUUUUUGAAAUGAAAGGGAAGACGAUGUACUUACAUUGUAAAAUGGUUUACAAUAAAGUUUCACAUCUUAAUACAGUUUUUUUUUUUUUUUAAAAGAAACCAUCACAUGUGGUUGUUGGUUGUGUGUUCUUUAGAGCUAAAACAGCUU